CAGUAGCCGCGGUAAUACGUAGGUGGCAAGCGUUGUCCGGAAUUAUUGGGCGUAAAGGGCUCGCAGGCGGUUUCUUAAGUCUGAUGUAAAAGCCCCCGGCUCAACCGGGGAGGGUCAUUGGAAACUGGGAAACUUGAGUGCAGAAGAGGAGAGUGGAAUUCCACGUGUAGCGGUGAAAUGCGUAGAGAUGUGGAGGAACACCAGUGGCGAAGGCGACUCUCUGGUCUGUAACUGACGCUGAGGAGCGAAAGCGUGGGGAGCGAACAGGAUUAGAUACCCCUGUAGUCCCUGUCUCUUAUAC
rnacentral:rRNA from 1 species